GAUGAACGCUGGCGGCGUGCCUAAUACAUGCAAGUCGAACGGGGAUUGUAGCAAUACACUCCCAGUGGCGAACGGGUGAGUAACGCGUUGGUGACCUGCCCCGAAGAGAGGGAUAACAGUCCGAAAGGAUUGCUAAUACCCCAUGUGAUCACCGGUUUUAGAAUCUGGUGAUUAAACGGAGUAAUCCGCUUUGGGAGGGGCCUGCGUCCCAUCAGCUAGUUGGUAAGGUAACGGCUUACCAAGGCGAUGACGGGUAGGGGACCUGAGAGGGUGGCCCCCCACAAUGGAACUGAAACACGGUCCAUACACCUACGGGAGGCAG
rnacentral:rRNA from 1 species